AAACAUAGCCUAUAACUUAACUUUAGGUACAACCCUGCCCUCUGAAAUUUUAACAGCCGCGGUAUCCUAACCGUGCUAAGGUAGCAUAAUCAUUUGCCUAUUAAUUAUAGGCUAGCAUGAACGGGAUCACUCACUUAAAUUUAUUUUCACUACAAUUAAAAUUAAACUUUAAGUUAAAAUACUAAAUUUUUAAGAAAGACAAAAAGACCCUGAAAACUAUUAGAAGAUAAUUAGUUGGGGCAACUAUAGACCAUAAACAGCGUCUAUUAAAAUUCGAAUUUUAAAAUUCAAAGCACACAGUUACUUCAGGGAUAACAGACUAAUUGUAUUAUUUAGACCUAAUAAAUAAUAAAGAUUGGCACCUCGAUGUUGGCUUAUAAUUCCUUCAUAUAGUAACAUAUAUUGAUGGCAGCUUGUUCAUCUGAUAAAUAUUUACAUGAGCUGAGUUCAGACG
rnacentral:rRNA from 1 species